rnacentral:rRNA from 1 species
UGGGGAAUAUUGGACAAUGGGCGAAAGCCUGAUCCAGCCAUGCCGCGUGUGUGAAGAAGGUCUUCGGAUUGUAAAGCACUUUAAGUUGGGAGGAAGGGCAGUAAGCGAAUACCUUGCUGUUUUGACGUUACCGACAGAAUAAGCACCGGCUAACUCUGUGCCAGCAGCCGCGGUAAUACAGAGGGUGCAAGCGUUAAUCGGAAUUACUGGGCGUAAAGCGCGCGUAGGUGGUUCGUUAAGUUGAAUGUGAAAGCCCCGGGCUCAACCUGGGAACUGCAUCCAAAACUGGGGGGUUAGAGUAGGGCAGAGGGUGUGGAAUUUCCUGUGUAGCGGUGAAAUGCGUAGAUAUAGGAAGGAACACCAGUGGCGAAGGCGACCACCUGGGCUCAUACUGACACUGAGGUGCGAAAGCGUGGGGAGCAAACAGG